rnacentral:rRNA from 1 species
UACGGGGGGGGCAAGCGUUGUUCGGAAUUACUGGGCGUAAAGGGCUCGUAGGCGGCCAACUAAGUCAGACGUGAAAUCCCUCGGCUUAACCUGGGAACUGCAUUCGAGACUGCAUUGCUAGAGUAUGGGAGAGGGAAGUGGAAUUUCCGGUGUAGCGGUGAAAUGCGUAGAUAUCGGAAGGAACAUCAGUGGCGAAAGCGACUUCCUGGACCAAUACUGACGCUCAUGUGCGAAAGCGUGGGGAGCAAACAGG